rnacentral:rRNA from 1 species
UACGGGAGGCAGCAGUGGGGAAUUUUGGACAAUGGGGGAAACCCUGAUCCAACAAUGCCGCGUGAGUGAAGAAGGCCUUCGGGUUGUAAAGCUCUUUUGUCAGGGAAGAAACACCGGCUCUAACACAGUCCGGGAAUGACGGUACCUGAAGAAUAAGCACCGGCUAACUACGUGCCAGCAGCCGCGGUAAUACGUAGGGUGCGAGCGUUAAUCGGAAUUACUGGGCGUAAAGCGUGCGCAGGCGGUUAUACAAGACAGGCGUGAAAUCCCCGGGCUUAACCUGGGAAUGGCGCCUGUGACUGUAUAGCUAGAGUGUGUCAGAGGGGGGUAGAAUUCCACGUGUAGCAGUGAAAUGCGUAGAUAUGUGGAGGAAUACCAAUGGCGAAGGCAGCCCCCUGGGAUAACACUGACGCUCAUGCACGAAAGCGUGGGGAGCAAACAGGAUUAGAUACCCUGGUAGUCCACGCCCUAAACGAUGCUGACUAGUUGUUCGGGAUUUACAUCCUGAGUAACGUAGCUAACGCGUGAAGUCAGCCGCCUGGGGAGUACGGUCGCAAGAUUAAAACUCAAAGGAAUUGACGGGGA